GUCUUGGUGAAUCUUAAGAACAAGGGAAUUGAUGGUUCCAGAGUUGAAAAGGUCUUGGAGAUGGUCCACAUCGCAGCUAAUAAAAACACAGUUCCAGGUGAUGUAUCUGCUAUGGUUCCUGGAGGCAUCAGGAUGGGUACCCCAGCCCUUACAUCUAGAGGAUUUGUUGAAGAAGACUUCGUAAAAGUUGCCUACUUCUUUGAUAUUGCUGUUCAAAUUGCAUUGAAAGUUAAGGCUGAAACCAAAGAUGGGUCGAAGCUGAAGGACUUCCUGGCCACUAUUCAGAAUAAUGCUAAUAUACAAUCGG
rnacentral:misc_RNA from 1 species